UACAGAGGGUGCAAGCGUUAAUCGGAAUUACUGGGCGUAAAGCGUGCGUAGACGGUUAUGUAAGUCAGAUGUGAAAGCCCCGGGCUUAACCUGGGAAUGGCAUUUGAGACUGCAUAGCUAGGGUGCGGAAGAGGGAAGCGGAAUUUCCGGUGUAGCGGUGAAAUGCGUAGAUAUCGGAGGAACACCGGUGGCGAAGGCGGCAUCCUGGACCGAUAUUGACGCUGAGGCGCGAAAGCCAGGGGAGCAAACGGG
rnacentral:rRNA from 1 species